rnacentral:lncRNA from 1 species
UCUGUGCCUCAGUUUUCCCAUCUGUAAAGGGGGUGACAAGGGUCCCUGUCCCAGGCGUAGGGAGGUGCCAGCCUCAGUGGCUGGCACAGGGCAGUAGCGGGCACUCCAUCCCCCUCGCGCUGGACAAGUCUACAGGGGUGCGGGGCUCACCGGCUGCCGGAGGCGGGGCUCUCGGUGGCGGCGGCGAUGGCAGCCGGGCCUGGGGGCUAUACCGCUGUACACACCGUGCUGACUGUGAACUCCGCCUCGGUGGCCAUGAUGUCUGUGGGCUGGAUGUUGCGGUCGUACAUCGGGUUCUCAAACGUGGCCCGAACGUUCGUGUUCUCGUGGCCAGCGUAGCCAUUGAACGGAACUUUGGGUCUUCUCCUGGGAGUGAGGUAGAGCAUGAACAAGCUGUCAAGAGAGACUCAGGGCUCUAAGGGGGAGAGGGAGGCUCUGGGGUGGGGUGGGGCACCCGCUGUGGGGCCCUCUCGUCCCUGCCCCGUACCUGUGCUUGUAGAGAUAAAGCACGAAGCCAGCAAUGAUGAGGGCGAUGAAAGGCACCAGGAUGGCGGCUGCCACUGAGCUGCUGUUGGAAGCGAAGUGGCGGCCGAUGGACUCCGGGUCUGACUCCAGCAGCCUGAGGUCUGCAAAGUCCCAGAGCAGAAACCUCAGGUCACAGACACGGUGGCUGCUGCUGGGAAGCGGGGUGCGGCUCGGGGUGCUGCCCAGGGCCCACCGGCUGCCUCCCCCCCCAAACUGGGCCAUCCCCUGGAGAAAGGAAAGGCUACUCACUCCAGUAUUCUGGCCUGGAGAAUCCCACGGACUGUGUAGUCCGUGGGGGCACAAAGAAUCAGACACGACGGAGUGAGUUUCACUUUCCUAGUUUCACAGGGGAUUGCGAUGAGCAUCAAAAGAUCCGAAAACAAAGCACUUUGCUCAGGGGCAGUCCCACAGAACGUGCUCAGUAAACGGAGGCGAUCGGUAUGAUCCUCAAUCUGGGUCACGUCCUUAGCGCCAGCCAGUCUCCCCAGUCUCUGGCAGACGGCCCUCUCCUCUGGCGUGGAGGAGCCCCACUGCCAUGGAGCCCAAAGGCUCUCACCUGUGCACUCCGGAUCACUGCCCGUCCAGGUGCCAUUGACCGAGCAGUGCCGGCUAAGUAGGCCUGUGGCAUAGUAGCCUUCCCGACACUCAUAGACGAUGGAGCUGGAGAAAACCAGGCCGUCACUGAACAGGACUCGGGCAUUGCUUGGAGUCCCAGGGUUCCCGCAAGAGAUCACUAGGAAGCCGAAAGAACACAUUAGUCAUCAGAACAACGGCAGGCAUCCCCUGGGGUUAGGCUAAGUCCUGCCCAGAGUGGAGGCCACAGGUUACAUCAGAAGCCUGUGGAUUGAAAGCAUCCCUGUUGGGAUGCUCCCAUGUCUGAUCAUCUCACCCUCAGNNNNNNNNNNNNNNNNCUGGAGGGAUUUUUAAAGAUUUCUGAAAGUUAAAGACCAUGUCUGUUUUGUUAUCACACCUAAAGUUUUAAACGAUUCCUUCGUAUCACCAAAUAGCCAAGCAGUGCUUAGGCUUCCUCAAGACUCUGUCUGUAUCUCUUUUUUUAAAUAGUUGAUUUGUUUGAAUCAUAAAGGUCCACAUACGACAUUUGAUUGGCAUGUCUCUAAGACUCUCUGAAUCCAGAGGUUACUGGAUUACCCUCUCCUAUAAUUUAUCUGUCACAGAAAUCAGGG